GACGAACGCUGGCGGCGUGCUUAACACAUGCAAGUCGAACGGAAAGGCCCUGCUUUUGUGGGGUGCUCGAGUGGCGAACGGGUGAGUAACACGUGAGUAACCUGCCCUUGACUUUGGGAUAACUUCAGGAAACUGGGGCUAAUACCGGAUAGGAGCUCCUGCUGCAUGGUGGGGGUUGGAAAGUUUCGGCGGUUGGGGAUGGACUCGCGGCUUAUCAGCUUGUUGGUGGGGUAGUGGCUUACCGAGGCUUUGACGGGUAGCCGGCCUGAGAGGGUGACCAGCCACAUUGGGCCUGAGAUACGGCCCAGACUCCAACGGGAGGCAGCAGUGGGGAGUAUUGCACAAUGGGCGGGAGCCUGAUGAAGCAACGCCGCGUGCGGGAUGACGGCCUUCGGGUUGUAAACCGCUUUCGCCUGUGACGAAGCGUGAGUGACGGUAAUGGGUAAAGAAGCACCGGCUAACUACGUG
rnacentral:rRNA from 1 species